UUACCUCACAAUAUUGAUAAGUUUGACGCAGUGCGAUGUAUUUUAAGAAGGCGAAAUUACAAACCGGAAGUGAAAUAAAACGCUGCUUCUAUGAAAUCGUUUCGAUCAUUGAUAUCAAAGUUGGAACUCGUAUUUCGGUCAGAUAAUAUUUAGACAUAAACAGACAAACUGUAGGCGUAUACUUGUACUCAAUUACAUUUGAGGUGAAGUAUUAAGUUGUUUAAACAGCAUGGGUGAUUGUGUAGUUGCUUGUUUAGUUUUGGCUUUCUUGCUAAGCCCACUUUUCCUGCAAGGUAAAGGCACGUUCGGUUCUGACUGGAUUGAGUGCACUUGAAUGAAACUGGCAGCUCUCAACGGUACAGCAUAUUUCUUAGAAGUCAUCUCCUUCAUAAUUCUGCUUUUGCCAGUAAUAUUUGGGGCAUUUGAGGCGUGAAUAAACAGCAACGCAUCGUCUUCAGAAGUAACCUGUUGCGGUAUUUGCAGUGGCAUCUUGUUUCUCCUGUACCCAGGAAGUCUGUUCAGUAUGGCUGGAUACAUACUGAUAUAAGUUAAGUUCUCAAAAUCUAUUCUUGGAGCGUCCAUCGACAACUGUCUCGCCUCAAGCCUGUACAUUCUAAUUGUUACAAUUAUAAUUGUGGCUAUCAUAUGCUCGAGCCGAGACAAAAAAACAAGCAACACAAAUAUGAAGCAAAUGACGCUCGAAACGCAAGCUGCAACCGCAUCUCGGAUUGAGCCAGUGCCGAUUGAGAUUCAAAUUGAGGAACGGACAACAUCACUUGAGGAACAAUCCGAAGGCGGUUGGCGACUUGUCACGCAGCUUAACAUCUUUCAUUAAAUCAUCCCUAAAAGACAAGAUUGAAAUCGAAAUGUUUUCAAGUUGUUAAGAGAGACCAAUUUAGAACGUGAUUUAAUGUUAGUGUUAAUUAUUGAUCCAAAAUGUAUAUACCUGACUUACAUGGAUCAUCGAAUUUCCUGCUGAAGCUAUUUUCUAUUAUUAGAACAAAAUAAAUGCGCUUGUUCAAAUAUAUCAUACAGUUUUAUGUUCAGUUUAUACAGUUAUUUGUUGACAACAAUACUUUUAAUCACACACAGUUCUCCGAUAAAAUUCAGUGUCAGUCUGUCAUGCACUGGUUGCUUUAAAAAUAAGGAUAUAAUCGUCGUUCUGACAGAAAGACGUAAGACUUGUUGUCUGUAAAGCUUUUUGACUUGUUUGAAUAAAAUGAAUAAGUAAGUAUAAAUAGUAAAAAUGUUUGUGCACGCCUGAAAUAUGAAUAAAAGGCAAAAAAACACGCAAAUAGAUAAAGAGGCAACUUAUCCAUCCAUUGGCACUCUAUUUGCAACGAAUCAACAUGAACAUAUGACUGGGUAAAGUUGAACUAACCAAAGUUUAGAUCUCUCCACCAUGAGUGUGUAAUUGUAUUCUUUUAGGCAUAGUCCAUAUUCCAAGACUGCAUAGUUCGUUUAGUUUAAAUGGGCGUUUAAGGUCCUAUGCAGUGGUCGAGAGGGAAUGUAAAUGUAAAAGUCUACAAACGAUUUGUGCAUAUUUUAUUACAAACCAUCGUGUCUGUACAUUAACAAUAAAAUACUAGAGCAAUAGCUGAUAUGGAGUUUCGUUUCGUUAAAGCUUUAAACCUGGGCGUGUACGUAUUCGUACCGAAAUAAAAAAAGAAAACCACUUUUAGUCUUAAGAUUUAAAUUGUCUUUGAAAGACUUGCAUGUUAAGCAAGGUUUAUUUGACUAUAUCAACGGUUAAAUAUUAACACAAACCAAAGUGUCAUAUAAACGGCGUUUCAUACAACUCAUGAAAACUUAUUAAUUUUGUUUCAUUCGUGAUUUCUUUAUGGAGCUUCAAAUAUACGCAAAUCUUACAGGACAACCGACAAAGCAGGCUUUAACUUCAAGCAUAUGGCCUUAUCUGAACCCCAUCUCACACAUUACAGAUUGUAUGUGUGAACUAUUUGCCAUAAAACCAGGUCAACAACUAGAUAGCCAUUUUAACAAGAGCUAUUUCGGAAAUUUUUCUUUUUACACAAGUUUUAUGAGAAAUAUGAUGUAAAACAAUAAACAAUUUCGGUACUCUGUUUGAAUCGACCGGAUGCUAUUACUCAUAAAAAUCCAACAUUAGUAUUUAUUUGUUUGCUACAUGAUUCUGUCUAUAUCUUUGUGAUGAAAGUGUGCUGUAAAAACGUAACAUUCAUAAUAAUGAGUCAAGUCGGUAACU